AGAGUUUGAUCCUGGCUCAGAUUGAACGCUGGCGGCAUGCCUUACACAUGCAAGUCGAACGGCAGCAUAGAGAGCUUGCUCUCUGAUGGCGAGUGGCGAACGGGUGAGUAAAGCAUCGGAACGUACCGUGUAGUGGGGGAUAACGUAGCGAAAGUUACGCUAAUACCGCAUACGCACUGAGGUGGAAAGCAGGGGAUCGCAAGACCUUGCGCUAUACGAGCGGCCGAUGUCAGAUUAGCUAGUUGGUAGGGUAAAGGCCUACCAAGGCGACGAUCUGUAGCGGGUCUGAGAGGAUGAUCCGCCACACUGGGACUGAGACACGGCCCAGACUCCUACGGGAGGCAGCAGUGGGGAAUUUUGGACAAUGGGGGCAACCCUGAUCCAGCCAUGCCGCGUGAGUGAAGAAGGCCUUCGGGUUGUAAAGCUCUUUCGGCCGGGAAGAAAUCGCACAGGCUAAUACUCUGUGUGGAUGACGGUACCGGCAUAAGAAGCACCGGCUAACUACGUGCCAGCAGCCGCGGUAAUACGUAGGGUGCGAGCGUUAAUCGGAAUUACUGGGCGUAAAGCGUGCGCAGGCGGUUGAGUAAGUUUGAUGUGAAAUCCCCGGGCUCAACCUGGGAACUGCAUUGAAGACUGCUCGACUAGAGUACGGCAGAGGGGGGUAGAAUUCCACGUGUAGCAGUGAAAUGCGUAGAGAUGUGGAGGAAUACCGAUGGCGAAGGCAGCCCCCUGGGCCGAUACUGACGCUCAUGCACGAAAGCGUGGGUAGCAAACAGGAUUAGAUACCCUGGUAGUCCACGCCCUAAACGAUGUCAACUAGGUGUUGGGAGGGUAAAACCUUUUAGUACCGGAGCUAACGCGUGAAGUUGACCGCCUGGGGAGUACGGCCGCAAGGUUAAAACUCAAAGGAAUUGACGGGGACCCGCACAAGCGGUGGAUGAUGUGGAUUAAUUCGAUGCAACGCGAAAAACCUUACCUACCCUUGACAUGUCCAGAAGAGAUUUGGGAGUGCCGCAAGGAACCUGAACACAGGUGCUGCAUGGCUGUCGUCAGCUCGUGUCGUGAGAUGUUGGGUUAAGUCCCGCAACGAGCGCAACCCUUGUCAUUAGUUGCCAUCAUUUAGUUGGGCACUCUAAUGAGACUGCCGGUGACAAACCGGAGGAAGGUGGGGAUGACGUCAAGUCCUCAUGGCCCUUAUGGGUAGGGCUUCACACGUCAUACAAUGGUCGGUACAGAGGGUUGCCAACCCGCGAGGGGGAGCCAAUCCCAGAAAGCCGAUCGUAGUCCGGAUCGUAGUCUGCAACUCGACUACGUGAAGUCGGAAUCGCUAGUAAUCGCGGAUCAGAAUGCCGCGGUGAAUACGUUCCCGGGUCUUGUACACACCGCCCGUCACACCAUGGGAGUGGGUCUCACCAGAAGUAGCUAGCCUAGCCGUAAGGGGGGCGGUUACCACGGUGAGAUUCAUGACUGGGGUGAAGUCGUAACAAGGUAGCCGU
rnacentral:rRNA from 1 species